rnacentral:rRNA from 1 species
UACCUGGUUGAUCCUGCCAGUAGUCAUAUGCUUGUCUCAAAGAUUAAGCCAUGCAUGUCUAAGUAUAAGCACUCGUACUGUGAAACUGCGAAUGGCUCAUUAAAUCAGUUAUCGUUUAUUUGAUUGUACUUUACUACAUGGAUACCUGUGGUAAUUCUAGAGCUAAUACAUGCGAAAAAUCCCGACUUCUGGAAGGGAUGUAUUUAUUAGAUUAAAAACCAAUGCGUGCCCUCGGGCGCGUUUUCUUGGUGAUUCAUGAUAACUUUUCGAAUCGUAUGGCCUUGCGCCGGCGAUAUUUCAUUCAAAUUUCUGCCCUAUCAACUGUCGAUGGUAAGGUAGUGGCUUACCAUGGUUAUAACGGGUGACGGAGAAUUAGGGUUCGAUUCCGGAGAGGGAGCCUGAGAAACGGCUACCACAUCUAAGGAAGGCAGCAGGCUCGAAAAUUACCCAAUCCCGACUCGGGGAGGUGGUGACAAGAAAUAACGAUACGGGGUCUUAAUAGGUCUCGCAAUUGGAAUGAGUACAAUUUAAAUCCUUUAACGAGGAUCAAUUGGAGGGCAAGUCUGGUGCCAGCAGCCGCGGUAAUUCCAGCUCCAAUAGC